GGCACGCUGGCCCGCGGCGUGAGGUCGUGACACUUCUCCCGCUCUGUCCUUAGCAGCGAGCGACACGAGGAGGCGAGCUCACGGAUCGCCUUUCACGUGGGAAUCGCAGCUCGGAGCAAUAUUGAAAACAAAUCCGGCCGGCGAGACUUUGUGGGAACAUUCAAUUUCUUUUAGUUUGUAGAUUGUAAAGACAUACCUCGAUGUCGGAUGGCUGCAGGGAACACGCGGUGUCUCAGAGAGCAGCCGAGGAGCCAAGCUCACAGCUGCCUUUUUUGACAUGACAGCUGCUGCAGGAUGACGAAUAAUCCAUUGAUGUCUCCGCAGCCGGGACAAGACACGGGUUGUUGGAGUUGAGAGCUGGAGAGAGAGCGAGAGUGAGACGCCUAAAAGAGAGCAGACUG